AGAACCAAAGGAGAAGGAACUGUCGAGUUGUAGAUUUAGACGAAGCAAGUAAGAGUGGAUAGGGAGCUUUGUUCAAAAUAAAUUUGGAUGAACUUGUCCGCAAAUACAUGCGCUUCUCCACCAUUUUCCGCAGAGCCCCAGUCCAUCUCCAAAGCUCCGUCAAGCUACUCCACUCUCUUCCCCGACCAAAACCCAGAAGAUUCUUCCAGAGACCAAAACUCGUCAAAACAAAAACCCCAGAAGCCAAGGUUUACACAAGAGACACAGUAUCCAACAUCUACAACAUCCUCAAGUACUCAACCUGGGACUCCGCUCUGUCCCAGCUCCCGCACCUCCCGAUCAAAUGGGACUCUCACAUAAUCAACCGCGUCUUGAAAUCCCAUCCUCCGAUGCAGAAAGCCUGGCUCUUUUUCAACUGGGCUUCCGACAUCAGAGGCUUCAAACACGACCACUUUACCUACACCACCAUGCUCGACAUCUUCGGCGAAGCGGGUCGGAUCCAGUCAAUGUACUCCGUUUUCCACCUUAUGAAGGAGAAGGGCGUGGCGAUCGAUACGGUGACGUAUACUUCGCUGAUUCACUGGGUUUCGAGCUCAGGGGAUGUCGACGAAGCGAUGAGGCUGUGGAAGGAGAUGAGGGAGAGUGGGUGCGAGCCUACCGUCGUGUCGUACACGGCUUACAUGAAGAUGCUUUUCGAUGUCGGGAGGGUUGAUGAAGCGACGGAGGUGUAUAAAGAGAUGUUACGGUCGAGGGUUUCUCCGAAUUGUCACACUUACACGGUGUUGAUGGAGUUUCUUGUCGGCUCUGGAAAAUGUGAGGAAGCUUUAGACAUUUUCUUUAAAAUGCAAGAGAUUGGUGUACAGCCAGAUAAAGCAGCUUGUAACAUUCUGAUUGGGAAAGCUUGUAAGUUCGGCGAAACGUCUUUCAUGGCUCGGAUUCUUGUAUACAUGAAAGAAAACGGGGUGGUCCUUCGUUACCCUGUAUUUCUCGAGGCUUUAGAGACUCUGAAAGCUGCAGGUCAAAGUGAUGAUUUGUUAAGAGAAGUCAAUUCGCAUAUUACUGUUGAAUCUGUGUGCUCCAACGACACCAUUGAAGCUGAAGUUGAUGACAAGAAGAGUUCAGAUGACAGUAGAAUUAUCAGCUCUGUUCUCUUGAUGAAGCAGAGUCUUGUUGCAGUUGAUUAUCUACUUAACCAGAUGAAAGAUAGAAACAUAAAGUUGGAUUCUUUUGUUGUUUCAGCAAUCGUUGAAACGAACUGUGGCCGUUGUAGAACCGAGGGGGCUUCGUUGGCCCUUGAUUACAGCUCGGAAAUGGGGAUUCAUCUCGAGAAAUCAGCGUAUCUUGCGUUAGUUGGUUACUUUCUGAGAGAAAACGAGUUUACUAAAGUUAUCGAAGUAGUCAAGGAGAUGGUGAAAGCCCAUCACUCACUUGGUGUGUACCGAGGAGCAACGUUGAUCCACAGGCUUGGGUUUGGCAGAAGACCUCGCUUAGCUGCAGAGGUUUUCCACUUGCUUCCCGACGAUGAAAAGGGCUUAGCUGCUUACACUGCGCUGAUGGAUGUUUAUAUCUCAGCAGGGAGUCCAGAGAAGGCAAUGAAGAUAUUUGAAGAGAUGAGAGGACGUGAGAUCAUGCCUUCGCUGGGGACAUACAAUGUUCUCUUGUCUGUUCUUGAGAAAACCAGUGACUUCCAGAGACAAGCAGCGUUGUUGAAGAAGGAGAAGAAGAGUCUUGUUGCUACUGGCCGUUUCCGGGAAGAUGUCGAUGCAGAAGAGAGAGUCUGUGAUCUUCUGUUUGCUAGGAAUCUGUAAUAUAACUGCAAGUGAAGCCAACAUACAUGUUUAAACGAAUCCCAUUAGCCACAAUGUAGGUUCUUCUCAGGCUCGUACAGUUUCUCAAAGCACCUAAUUUGAUCGAAUUAGCCAGAAGUGUAUUCUCUGUGCUAAUGACUCGAGGUAGUUAGUUGAGGUUGAGUUAUUAGGGAUGGUUUGAUCAGGAGACUUCUAUGAAUCCCAGAAGCUCAUGUGUUAUAUGCUUCCAACCAGUGAGAUUUCACUAAAAUUAAUGUAACCAUUAAAUGUCUGUUGAAAUUUUUUGACAUUUCUGCUGUGUAGCUUUUUCGAAUUUCUCUAUAUUGCGCUUGUCCUAUGAAGUUUGGGAAGCAAAUAUGAUUUCU